UACAGAGGGUGCGAGCGUUGUUCGGAAUUACUGGGCGUAAAGCGCGCGCAGGCGGCCUUUAUAAGUCCGACGGUGAAAUGCCGGGGCUCAACCCCGUGCCCGCCGCGGAUACUGGGAGGCUGGAGACGAGUAGAGGCAAGCGGAAUUCCGGGUGUAGCGGUGGAAUGCGUAGAGAUCCGGAAGAACACCGGAGGCGAAGGCGGCUUGCUGGGCUCGGUCUGACGCUGAGGCGCGAAAGCGUGGGGAGCGAACAGG
rnacentral:rRNA from 1 species